GUAGCUUCCAGAAACAGUCAAGAUAAUUGUUACUUUGGGAAUGGUAAUGUAGCAAAAGGAAGUGCUAGUAUCUAAUAUGUACUUUACUGGUAAAAUUAAACAGACACAAGUCAUUACUGAAUGACUUACCAGUAAUAAAAAUGUAAUAUUAACAUAACAACAGUUUAAGGUUAAUGUUAAUAUGGCUUGCCACAAAAUCAGUAUUUCGUUGAUGACGUUAAUAGCUAUUCUAUAGAAAUGCACUCAUUUAAACGCAUAGAUUACUUUGACAUGACAUUGCUGGAAACUUAGUCCAGUUUAUUCUCACCAGAAUAGUGAUGGAAGCACUUAUUAUAAUUCAAGAAGAGGUAGCCUAAUUAAAGGUGUUGUGUAUUUUUCUUACAUUUCUGUCAAGCAUCACUCAGAUAGCAUAUGACUUCUUGGAAUAAUUGUCUUAAAUGACUCAUUUUGUCACUUUUAUUGUAUGUUGCUGUAUCUUUGAGACCGUUCCAUAGCAACCAGUGAAAGAUGCAAAAGAUGCUGUAUGUCAACUUUUUUUUUCAGUUUGUGCUACUAUCUGUGCAGAGUUCAAAGACCUAAUAAUUCAGAUCUAAAAUGUUCAGAUUCAAGUACAAAUUCAGAGACUUGCUAGUGUGCACAGAUCGCUGAAGACAAGAGGGAGGGGAAAGAUCAGAGACUGAAAGCGCUUUCGACUGGAUACUUCUAAUCACGUCGGAGUGAUGCAGUCUCCAUAGCGACGAUAGGUUCCUCGGUAACCCGCUAUUGUUGCCAUGGCAUUUUUUUUUUUUUUUUUUUUUUGGUGUCCUCAGUAAUCCGCCAGAAUUUUUUUUAAGUCUGGCUGAAGAUUUGAUCUCCUGCUGGAUUUUGUAAACUGAUGAAAAUGGAUUUUCUCAUCUAAUCAGAGGGUCAUAACAACAACAACAACAUGAACAAACAGAGACGUCCAGAACUCCAGAAAUAUAUCUGGAGUGUCUUCAAAAGAGCCCAAACUAUUAAGCCACACUCCGGGAUAAAGUGCAAUACAUGUGAAAGUUUCGUCACUGAAGUGUUCUAGCACAAAACAAGCAAAGACAGAAGUGAAAAUGAAUGGGUGUGAUACACUGAUCAUUCACGAGGGGCUGCUGUAUCUACGCCAAACGCUUGGAGAUUUCCACCAUCUCUAUUCUCCCACAGGAUGGACUUCCCGCCUUGUUUUAAGAGACAGCAAUGAGGAAGGAGACAGAGGCGGAUGAAGCUUUAAAGGAGUUUAAUCUCUGUGUGGACCCCAGCUUGCUAAACGUAGGUGCUCGUGGACUGUUCCCUGCUCCUCGACACUUCUGAGAGGAGGUGCCUUCAAAAACACCCCCCCCCCCCCCCCCCCGUCCAGCUUCCGGACCCUGAUUUCCCCCUGGCUAGACUGCCUCAGCGCACCACUUGCCUUUUCUGUGUCAGUAUUCUGUCUCUUAACAAAAGAAGAUGGACUCCUGUGUUGAUGUGCUGUUUCUGCUGCUCAAUGUAAGACUCUAAACUCCACAUAAGUGCUCCUACACACGCUCCCACCGCCGUAGCCCAGCAGUGUUGAGGGCUGUGCUAGCUAUGCUAGCUCCAUCAGCUGUCAUGUGUCGUCAGGCUGUGAUGUCAUCUUUGGCGUUGCUGUAUAAACUGAUAGUCAUAAA